GACGAACGCUGGCGGCGUGCUUAACACAUGCAAGUCGAACGCUGAAGCUCAGCUUGCUGGGUGGAUGAGUGGCGAACGGGUGAGUAACACGUGAGUAACCUGCCCCCUUCUUUGGGAUAACGCCCGGAAACGGGUGCUAAUACUGGAUAUUCACUGAUCUUCGCAUGGGGGUUGGUGGGAAGGUUUUUUCUGGUGGGGGAUGGGCUCGCGGCCUAUCAGCUUGUUGGUGGGGUGAUGGCCUACCAAGGCUUUGACGGGUAGCCGGCCUGAGAGGGUGACCGGUCACAUUGGGACUGAGAUACGGCCCAGACUCCUACGGGAGGCAGCAGUGGGGAAUAUUGCACAAUGGGCGAAAGCCUGAUGCAGCGACGCCGCGUGAGGGAUGGAGGCCUUCGGGUUGUAAAACUCUUUCGCUCAUGGUCAAGCCGCAACAUUGGUUGUGGUGAGGGUAGUGGGUAAAGAAGCGCCGGCUAACUACGUG
rnacentral:rRNA from 1 species